GAUGAACGCUGGCGGCGUGCUUAACACAUGCAAGUCGAACGGUGAAGGCGGAGCUUGCUCUGCUGGAUCAGUGGCGAACGGGUGAGUAACACGUGAGCAAUCUGCCCCUGACUCUGGGAUAAGCGCUGGAAACGGCGUCUAAUACUGGAUACGAGCUGCGAAGGCAUCUUCAGCAGCUGGAAAGAACUUCGGUCAGGGAUGAGCUCGCGGCCUAUCAGCUUGUUGGUGAGGUAACGGCUCACCAAGGCUUCGACGGGUAGCCGGCCUGAGAGGGUGACCGGCCACACUGGGACUGAGGCACGGCCCAGACUCCUACGGGAGGCAGCGGUGGGGAAUAUUGCACAAUGGGCGAAAGCCUGAUGCAGCAACGCCGCGUGAGGGACGCCGGCCUUCGGGUUGUAAACCUCUUUUAGCAGGGAAGAAGCGAAAGUGACGGUACCUGCAGAGAAAGCGCCGGCUAACUACGUG
rnacentral:rRNA from 1 species